rnacentral:rRNA from 1 species
UACGGGGGGGGCAAGCGUUGUUCGGAAUUACUGGGCGUAAAGGGCUCGUAGGCGGCCAACUAAGUCGGACGUGAAAUCCCCAGGCUCAACCUGGGAACUGCGUCCGAUACUGGAUGGCUUGAGUCCGGGAGAGGGAUGCGGAAUUCCAGGUGUAGCGGUGAAAUGCGUAGAUAUCUGGAGGAACACCGGUGGCGAAGGCGGCAUCCUGGACCGGCACUGACGCUGAUGAGCGAAAGCCAGGGGAGCAAACGGG